CCGGACCCGCCGCCAAGCGGAAGCUGGAGGAGGCCGAGGCGCCGCCGGGAAAGCGUCCCGGGCUGCGGGGCGAGGAACCGGCGGCCGCCCCGCAAGAAGAAUUCAAUCAGUAUAACUCAUUCUUGUACUGGAGAGCACCAUUGCCUACAAUUGAUUUAUCUGAUAUUCAGAGCCUGCAUGGAGAGACUACAUCUGCCGAUAAAACUCCUUCAAGGACUGAUACCAUGGAGACUGAGAUGGAGACCUGAUCAGUUGGUUUAUAGUUGUACGUCUACUCGCAGGAAGCUUGUUUCUGUUUGGAUUCAGUUUUUCCUGCGUCGGAGAAAAAUCAACGUGCUUCUGUUUUUAUGAAGAAACAGUGUUAUAUCAAUCUGAAAAGGCAAGUCAGAGCUGUCAGGUUGGUGGAAUCAUCACUAUUAGAUACUGUUAGCUGGCUGGAGGUCUGAACUUACUGAUUAUGUGUGGAGGAGGCUUUGUCUAGCAUGAACACCUGAAUUCAUGGAAGCAGGGCAGAAGAAAAUGACAGAAAAUUAGUUAACUUCCAGAUGUAAUUGUAGGAAACAGUUGGAUAAGUUACACGUGGAAAGGAAAUGGAAAAUUAUUUAGCCUGUCCUGAAGAAAAGGUGUAACUGUUGUACCAGAAUAUGAAAUUCUUUAUCAUAAAGCACAGAAACUAGUAUUUUUAGUAGGGUUUUUUUCAGUGUAAUAGCUAAGCCAAAAAAAACAAAAAACAAAAAACAAACAAAAAAAAAAACCACCACGUAAGUCCACCAAAACCAGGCAAAACAUUCCCUUUUCUAUGCAAACCAAAAAUGAGUGUGUUGGGGAUGGGAAGGGAAAAGGGGAUCUAUUCUAUAAGCUGCCAGUGUUCUGAAUGAUUACAGUCUUCUUGUGAUCACUCAAAGCAGCUAGCUUUUACAUUUUUUUUUGUCUGUUCUUAAGUUAAUGAUUUUCUUAUUCUUUGUGAAAUUAAACUAGCUGGUAAUGUGGAAAUAGCAGCUGUGUGCAGGGUCAUGAAAGGUUAACGCAGUGUGAAUUGAGUACUUAGUUGACUGAGGUUUAGUUUUUUGCAGACGUUGUGGAUGUUGAAGAAACCUUUUUUUACAGAAGUUCAAUUAGUUAGUGGUUUUUUUUUUUUUUUUGCUAUGAAAUAUCAUUGUAAUGUGCUUUUUUGUAAUUUAUUUACAAGUUAAAAAUGCGAUUAGAAAUAUGUGUCUUCAGUAGUAGGUCGGAAUUUAAAGUUGUAUUGGCAGACUGUCAGACUUGCGAAUGUGACUUGUUUAUAGGUGAGUUUGUCAUUCAUAUUUUUGCCAGAAUCAUCUUAAAAUAAAGAAAAUUCUUUCUACUAACCUGUUUGUUGAAGGUCAAUCACCUGUGUGCAUUCGAAGGCCUUGGGACCAUUACUGUUCGAAGCUCCUGACUUCUCUUAAGAUGGUUUGGACAACUUAGUGGUUUUAUUUAUUAAGUGUCCCUGUUUGAAAAGAGACAACUUGUCCGCCUUCUUAGUGAACAGUUCAAAACUUUUUUUCAGCAUCUGUACUGCAAAAUAUUUGUGUUGACAGGGUCCCCUAGUGCCUGCAGAAGAGAUGAAGAGGCUUACUGAAUUGGACGUUUCGUGGUGCUUGUUCAGAUAUGCUUCUAAUUGCUGUCACAUUAGCGAGAUGCUCAUUUAAAGCAAUAUUCAUAUUAAGCAUGCAUUUUAAUAUUGUAUUAAGUGCAAAUCUAGUUCUCUUAGGAGAUCCUUUAAACAUACCUUUAAAAACUGCUAGAUUUCUGUCAAGAAUGCAACCACUAUUGUUUACUGUUACCAAAGUAAAUUAGAAAGGUG
ensembl:lncRNA